rnacentral:lncRNA from 1 species
UUCCAUCUGGUUUUGAUAUUUAUUUCUUGGUUAACACUUGACAGCUUAUUAGAAACAAUAGAUUACAUUCUUGAAGGCACCCAGAACUUGAUCAUACCAAUACAGAGUAAUACAAGCACCAAUUCUAGAAAAAGGGUCCUAGAUAUACCAUCCUCGUUCUGCUGGCUAACACAUGAAGAAGACGUUGUGUCGGCGUCUUCUCCCCUAUCCCGACCUUCACAAUUGAAUCACUUAACAUGAUUAAUAUGGACAUCAUGACAGAUUCCGGUAGCAUCAAAUCUCUUGAAAUGUGGAUUGAUUAGGGGUAACAUCAAAUCUCUUGGAACGUGGAUUGAUUAGAGUUUUUUACUCCUUUGACCUUCAUUUAUUGGUUUGCAAGAGGUGUUGUAGACAAAUUUCAUUCAGAGAAUAUGACUGCUAUAACUUCCUUCCAUGUAUGUGUUCUUGGAGGAAAUAUAUUGUCUUCUUCAGGCAAUCCAGUAUCAUUAUUUAUCAUUUGCAGGUCACCGUUGUCAUCUGGAUUAGAUGACGAAGUGCCCAACAGCUUUCAAUGUUAUGACCCCGAGUAUUGGAGUGAUAUUGAC